GCGUGAUUAGCUCAGUAGGUAGAGCAAGAUCCUUCCAAGAUCAAUGUCAUCGGUUCGAUCCCGAUAUCGCGCUCCA
rnacentral:tRNA from 1 species